rnacentral:rRNA from 1 species
CCUGGUGGCCACGGCGGGGGGCCCGCACCCGAUCCCAUCCCGAACUCGGCCGUGAAACCCCCCAGCGCCCAUGGUACUGCGACACAAGUCGCGGGAGAGUCGGUCGCCGCCAGGU